rnacentral:snRNA from 1 species
CGUGCCUCGGCAUCAGCGUGCU